rnacentral:rRNA from 1 species
AACGCGAAGAACCUUACCUACCCUUGACAUCCAUAGGAUUUUGCAGAGAUGCAGAAGUGCCGAAAGGAACUAUGAGACAGGUGCUGCAUGGCUGUCGUCAGCUCGUGUUGUGAGAUGUUGGGUUAAGUCCCGUAACGAGCGCAACCCUUGUCCCUGGUUGCCAGCGCGUAAAGGCGGGGACUCCAGGGAGACUGCCGGUGAAGAACCGGAGGAAGGCGGGGACGACGUCAAGUCAUCAUGGCCUUUAUGGGUAGGGCUACACACGUGCUACAAUGGUGCGUACAGAGGGUCGCGAACCCGCGAGGGGGAGCCAAUCUUUUAAAGCGCAUCGUAGUCCGGACUGGAGUCUGCAACUCGACUCCACGAAGUCGGAAUCGCUAGUAAUCGCGAAUCAGAAUGUCGCGGUGAAUACGUUCCCGGGCCUUGUACACACCGACGCAC